rnacentral:rRNA from 1 species
AGUGGCGCACGGGUGAGUAACGCGUACACGACCUACCUUCAAGAGGGGGAUAGCCCUGGGAAACUGGGAAUAAUCCGCCAUGUGAUUAACUGUGUUAGAGAUGGUUAAUUAAAGUUCAGGCGCUUGGAGAUGGGUGUGCGUACCAUUAGCUAGUUGGUAAGGUAACGGCUUACCAAGGCGACGAUGGUUAGGGGGCGUGAGAGCGUGGACCCCCACACGGGUACUGAGACACGGACCCGACUCCUACGGGAGGCAGCAGUAAGGAAUAUUGGACAAUGCCCGCAAGGGUGAUCCAGCCAUCCCGCGUGCAGGAUGACGGCCCUAUGGGUUGUAAACUGCUUUUAGAUAGGAAGAAACCCCAGGAUUUAUUUUUGGUUGACGGUACUAUCAAGAAUAAGCACCGGCUAACUCCGUGCCAGCAGCCGCGGUAAUACGGAGGGUGCAAGCGU